rnacentral:rRNA from 1 species
UUUGGAAUUUUGGACAAUGGACGAAAGUCUGAUCCAGCGACGCCGCGUGGACGAUGAAGGCCUUCGGGUUGUAAAGUCCUUUUGCUCGGGAACAAUUUUUGAGCGUACCGAGAGAAUAAGAGGUUGCUAACUCUGUGCCAGCAGCAGCGGUAAUACAGAGACCUCAAGCGUUAUCCGGAAUCAUUGGGCGUAAAGCGUACCGAUAGGUGGUUGUAUAAGUCAGAAGUGAAAUCUCCGAGCUUAACUCGGAAUCUGUCUUUUGAAACUAUACAACUAGAGGGGCAAAGAGGAAGCUGGAACGAACGGUGUAGUAGUGAAAUGCGUUGAUAUCGUUCGGAACACCGAUAGCGUAGGCAGGCUUCUGGGUGCCACCUGACACUGCUAGGACGAAAGCGUGGGGAGCGAAUG